UACGUAGGGGUCGAGCGUUGUCCGGAAUUAUUGGGCGUAAAGAGCUCGUAGGCGGUUUGUCGCGUCUGCCGUGAAAGUCCGGGGCUCAACUCCGGAUCUGCGGUGGGUACGGGCAGACUAGAGUGAUGUAGGGGAGACUGGAAUUCCUGGUGUAGCGGUGAAAUGCGCAGAUAUCAGGAAGAACACCGAUGGCGAAGGCAGGUCUCUGGGCAUUAACUGACGCUGAGGAGCGAAAGCAUGGGGAGCGAACAGG
rnacentral:rRNA from 1 species